rnacentral:rRNA from 1 species
GAUGAACGCUGGCGGCGUGCUUAACACAUGCAAGUCGAACGAAGCACUUUAUUUGAUUUCCUUCGGGACUGAUUAUUUUGUGACUGAGUGGCGGACGGGUGAGUAACGCGUGGGUAACCUGCCUUGUACAGGGGGAUAACAGUUGGAAACGGCUGCUAAUACCGCAUAAGCGCACAGCAUCGCAUGAUGCAGUGUGAAAAACUCCGGUGGUAUAAGAUGGACCCGCGUUGGAUUAGCUAGUUGGUGAGGUAACGGCCCACCAAGGCGACGAUCCAUAGCCGAGCUGUGAGGGUGACCGGCCACAUUGGGACUGAGACACGGCCCAAACUCCUACGGGAGGCAGCAGUGGGGAAUAUUGCACAAUGGGCGAAAGCCUGAUGCAGCGCCGCCGCGUGAGCGAAGAAGUAUUUCGGUAUGUAAAGCUCUAUCAGCAGGGAAGAUAAUGACGGUACCUGACUAAGAAGCACCGGCUAAAUACGUG